UACGUAGGGUGCAAGCGUUGUCCGGAAUUAUUGGGCGUAAAGAGCUCGUAGGCGGUUUGUCGCGUCUGCUGUGAAAACUCGGGGCUUAACCCCGGGCCUGCAGUGGGUACGGGCAGACUAGAGUGCGGUAGGGGAGACUGGAAUUCCUGGUGUAGCGGUGAAAUGCGUAGAUAUCGAGAGGAACACCUGCGGCGAAGGCGGGUUGCUGGGCUGACACUGACGCUGAUGCGCGAAAGCCAGGGGAGCGAACGGG
rnacentral:rRNA from 1 species